rnacentral:rRNA from 1 species
UACAGAGGGGGCAAGCGUUAUUCGGAAUUAUUGGGCGUAAAGGGCGCGUAGGCGGCUUGACAAGUGGCGGGUGAAAUCCCUCGGCUUAACCGAGGAACUGCCUGCCAGACUGUCUUGCUUGAGACCGGGAGAGGUGAGUGGAAUUCCCAGUGUAGCGGUGAAAUUCGUAGAUAUUGGGAAGAACACCGGUGGCGAAGGCGGCCAUCUGGCCGGUUCUGACGCUGAGGCGCGAAAGCGUGGGGAGCAAACAGG